AUCAUUAACUGAAUCCAUAGGUUAAUGAGGCGAACCGGGGGAACUGAAACAUCUAAGUACCCCGAGGAAAAGAAAUCAACCGAGAUUCCCCCAGUAGCGGCGAGCGAACGGGGAGGAGCCCAGAGCCUGAAUCAGCAUGUGUGUUAGUGGAAGCGUCUGGAAAGGCGCGCGAUACAGGGUGACAGCCCCGUACACAAAAGCGCAUGUGCUGUGAGCUCGAUGAGUAGGGCGGGACACGUGGUAUCCUGUCUGAAUAUGGGGGGACCAUCCUCCAAGGCUAAAUACUCCUGACUGACCGAUAGUGAACCAGUACCGUGAGGGAAAGGCGAAAAGAACCCCGGCGAGGGGAGUGAAAAAGAACCUGAAACCGUGUACGUACAAGCAGUGGGAGCACCCUUUGGGUGUGACUGCGUACCUUUUGUAUAAUGGGUCAGCGACUUAUAUUCUGUAGCAAGGUUAACCGAAUAGGGGAGCCGGAGGGAAACCGAGUCUUAACCGGGCGUUAAGUUGCAGGGUAUAGACCCGAAACCCGGUGAUCUAGCCAUGGGCAGGUUGAAGGUUGGGUAACACUAACUGGAGGACCGAACCGACUAAUGUUGAAAAAUUAGCGGAUGACCUGUGGCUGGGGGUGAAAGGCCAAUCAAACCGGGAGAUAGCUGGUUCUCCCCGAAAGCUAUUUAGGUAGCGCCUCGUGAAUUCAUCUCCGGGGGUAGAGCACUGUUUCGGCUAGGGGGCCAUCCCGGCUUACCAACCCGAUGCAAACUGCGAAUACCGGAGAAUGUUAUCACGGGAGACACACGGCGGGUGCUAACGUCCGUCGUGAAGAGGGAAACAACCCAGACCGCCAGCUAAGGUCCCAAAGUCAUGGUUAAGUGGGAAACGAUGUGGGAAGGCCCAGACAGCCAGGAUGUUGGCUUAGAAGCAGCCAUCAUUUAAAGAAAGCGUAAUAGCUCACUGGUCGAGUCGGCCUGCGCGGAAGAUGUAACGGGGCUAAACCAUGCACCGAAGCUGCGGCAGCGACACUGUGUGUUGUUGGGUAGGGGAGCGUUCUGUAAGCCUGUGAAGGUGUGUCGUGAGGCAUGCUGGAGGUAUCAGAAGUGCGAAUGCUGACAUAAGUAACGAUAAAGCGGGUGAAAAGCCCGCUCGCCGGAAGACCAAGGGUUCCUGUCCAACGUUAAUCGGGGCAGGGUGAGUCGACCCCUAAGGCGAGGCCGAAAGGCGUAGUCGAUGGGAAACGGGUUAAUAUUCCCGUACUUGGUGUUACUGCGAAGGGGGGACGGAGAAGGCUAUGUUGGCCGGGCGACGGUUGUCCCGGUUUAAGCGUGUAGGUGUGUGUUCCAGGUAAAUCCGGUUCACUUUAACACUGAGGCGUGACGACGAGGCACUACGGUGCUGAAGCAACAAAUGCCCUGCUUCCAGGAAAAGCCUCUAAGCAUCAGGUAACAUCAAAUCGUACCCCAAACCGACACAGGUGGUCAGGUAGAGAAUACCAAGGCGCUUGAGAGAACUCGGGUGAAGGAACUAGGCAAAAUGGUGCCGUAACUUCGGGAGAAGGCACGCUGACACGUAGGUGAAGUGAUUUACUCAUGGAGCUGAAGUCAGUCGAAGAUACCAGCUGGCUGCAACUGUUUAUUAAAAACACAGCACUGUGCAAACACGAAAGUGGACGUAUACGGUGUGACGCCUGCCCGGUGCCGGAAGGUUAAUUGAUGGGGUCAGCGCAAGCGAAGCUCCUGAUCGAAGCCCCGGUAAACGGCGGCCGUAACUAUAACGGUCCUAAGGUAGCGAAAUUCCUUGUCGGGUAAGUUCCGACCUGCACGAAUGGCGUAAUGAUGGCCAGGCUGUCUCCACCCGAGACUCAGUGAAAUUGAACUCGCUGUGAAGAUGCAGUGUACCCGCGGCAAGACGGAAAGACCCCGUGAACCUUUACUAUAGCUUGACACUGAACAUUGAGCCUUGAUGUGUAGGAUAGGUGGGAGGCUUUGAAGUGUGGACGCCAGUCUGCAUGGAGCCGACCUUGAAAUACCACCCUUUAAUGUUUGAUGUUCUAACGUGGACCCGUUACCCGGGUUGCGGACAGUGUCUGGUGGGUAGUUUGACUGGGGCGGUCUCCUCCUAAAGAGUAACGGAGGAGCACGAAGGUUGGCUAAUCCUGGUCGGACAUCAGGAGGUUAGUGCAAUGGCAUAAGCCAGCUUGACUGCGAGCGUGACGGCGCGAGCAGGUGCGAAAGCAGGUCAUAGUGAUCCGGUGGUUCUGAAUGGAAGGGCCAUCGCUCAACGGAUAAAAGGUACUCCGGGGAUAACAGGCUGAUACCGCCCAAGAGUUCAUAUCGACGGCGGUGUUUGGCACCUCGAUGUCGGCUCAUCACAUCCUGGGGCUGAAGUAGGUCCCAAGGGUAUGGCUGUUCGCCAUUUAAAGUGGUACGCGAGCUGGGUUUAGAACGUCGUGAGACAGUUCGGUCCCUAUCUGCCGUGGGCGCUGGAGAACUGAGGGGGGCUGCUCCUAGUACGAGAGGACCGGAGUGGACGCAUCACUGGUGUUCGGGUUGUCAUGCCAAUGGCACUGCCCGGUAGCUAAAUGCGGAAGAGAUAAGUGCUGAAAGCAUCUAAGCACGAAACUUGCCCCGAG
rnacentral:rRNA from 1 species